UCUUGCAAACUAAAGAUGGCGACCGGCGCACGGGUGAGUAACACGUAUCCAACCUGCCGAUAACUCGGGGAUAGCCUUUCGAAAGAAAGAUUAAUAUCCGAUGGUAUAUUAAAACCGCAUGGUUUUACUAUUAAAGAAUUUCGGUUAUCGAUGGGGAUGCGUUCCAUUAGUUUGUUGGCGGGGUAACGGCCCACCAAGACUACGAUGGAUAGGGGUUCUGAGAGGGAGGUCCCCCACAUUGGAACUGAGACACGGUCCAA
rnacentral:rRNA from 1 species